CCGAGAUGUCCAGUUUUCGGUCCAUAAAGCUGGCUUGUUAGGCGAAUUCGGCCCAUGAAAUGUUUCCCCGCAGAUGAGCCCGUUGCAGGGCACUGACGAUUGGAUCUGGAGCAUCGUCCUGUUUGCACAUCAUCCAUGGAAUGCCUGUCUGGAGGUUUACAGCCAUUGCCGCUGCCCAGCGAACAUAAGGUGGUCCCCUUGAAUGAAAUGCUGCCUGGACUAGCUUAUAUUCGUUCUCAAUCUACAGGUUAAAUUUUAGAGUUGCACAAAAAGAUCAUCUAACACAUAACACAAGGGAUAAGUACUGUUGAACUGAAAUACCUGUGAUAUGAUUAUGGGACCUCCUUGUGGAUAGUAUAAAUUUUCAUCCUUCAUCAUGUUAACAAUUUUAGCAACAAAUUUUUGCAUAUGUACCUGCAUUCAGUAUUUAAAUAUGAGUAAUCUACCAUGAUAGUUUAGCAUGAAAUAAUGUAACUCUAGGAUUAUUGUAGAUGCAUAUUUUCAGUUUUCUUGUUUGUUUCUGACAGUGAGGUUGGUAAAUCUGUAUGGAACCUACCACUCUCACCUCAUACAUGACAUCUGUUUUCACCUGUGUGUAUACUUGUACCUGAAAAACAUUUGUCAUCUCUUUUAUGCUUGCUUAACUGCACCAUGUGACAUUUUUAGUUACGCUAAUGGGUUUCUGAGGGUAGUAUGAUGUUUCAAAACUAGAACUACGAUGGAAAACUAUUCUGAAUAUAUGGUAAUACUAUAAUUCAUUUUACCAUGUGGAACAGAGGAUUGGAGGAAACAAGAAAUGAUAUUUUCAUUCUGAAUAAUCCAGCUGCAGUUACAAGAUUCUCUUCCAUGGUUACAGUCUUGCAGACCAUAUAGCAUUGUUCAAGGCUUCAAAGGCUAUGCGUUGGGUAGUUGGAUACCUUGUAGGGUUCAUUGUUGCAUCUGAAGGUAAUGUUUGGGACACCACGCAACCAAAAUGGCAAGCCUCUGCAUGAAUAAAAGAUCCAGUAAAAGCUUUACAUGUUCAGGACACCAUAGAAAUGAAACAUAUUCAUGCAUCAUCUCGUUACCCGUAUUUCCAUUCUGCCUCGACGAAGGGGCCAACCCGGAGGCUCACAUAGAGGCCUUGAGCAUGGAUUUCUCUGAUGAACUUCACCAGAUCAUAUCUUCCUUCGAAGUUGUACUGGAGCACCCACCUGACCUUGUAUAGGCUCAUGGACAUUCCAGAAGACGUAUGUCUGUAUGACAUCCAGGCCACCUUCCCUGGCGCUCUCUAUGAGUCUUGGCCACAUCUGCAAAUUGGACUGUAGAUUAGUUUGACGGAAGGAAUUGAAGUAUUCUGUAUCAUAUGGUUCGUGGUGCAUGCUUGAUUGUUUACUGUAUGUAUGUAUUGACUGAACUAAUUUGAUUGCUGAAGGAAACUUUGACUGAACUAAUCUGUUUAUGUAGUGAGUUGGAUUUUGCUGUAGUGCAGCAAUCAUAAAUUUACUUUAAUUAACAAAUGCUUGAAA